rnacentral:rRNA from 1 species
GACGAACGCUGGCGGCGUGCUUAACACAUGCAAGUCGAACGGAAAGGCCCUGCUUUUGUGGGGUGCUCGAGUGGCGAACGGGUGAGUAACACGUGAGUAACCUGCCCUUGACUUUGGGAUAACUUCAGGAAACUGGGGCUAAUACCGGAUAGGAGCUCCUGCUGCAUGGUGGGGGUUGGAAAGUUUCGGCGGGUGGGGAUGGACUCGCGGCUUAUCAGCUUGUUGGUGGGGUAGUGGCUUACCAAGGCUUUGACGGGUAGCCGGCCUGAGAGGGUGACCGGCCACAUUGGGACUGAGAGACGGCCCAGACGCCAACGGGAGGCAGCAGUGGGGAAUAUUGCACAAUGGGCGGAAGCCUGAUGCAGCAACGCCGCGUGCGGGAUGACGGCCUUCGGGUUGUAAACCGCUUUCGCCUGUGACGAAGCGUGAGUGACGGUAAUGGGUAAAGAAGCACCGGCUAACUACGUG